ACGAACGCUGGCGGCGUGCUUAACACAUGCAAGUCGAACGGAAAGGCCCUGCUUUUGUGGGGUGCUCGAGUGGGGAACGGGUGAGUAACACGUGAGUAACCUGCCCUUGACUUUGGGAUAACUUCAGGAAACUGGGGCUAAUACCGGAUAGGAGCUCCUGCUGCAUGGUGGGGGUUGGAAAGUUUCGGCGGUUGGGGAUGGACUCGCGGCUUAUCAGCUUGUUGGUGGGGUAGUGGCUUACCAAGGCUUCGACGGGUAGCCGGCCUGAGAGGGUGACCGGCCACAUUGGGACUGAGAUACGGCCCAGACUCCUACGGGAGGCAGCAGUGGGGAAUAUUGCACAAUGGGCGGAAGCCUGAUGCAGCAACGCCGCGUGCGGGAUGACGGCCUUCGGGUUGUAAACCGCUUUCGCCUGUGACGAAGCGUGAGUGACGGUAAUGGGUAAAGAAGCACCGGCUAACUACGUG
rnacentral:rRNA from 1 species